GCGCCCGUAGCUCAGUUGGAUAGAGUACUGCCCUCCGAAGGCAGGGGUCACAGGUUCGAAUCCUGUCGGGCGCGCUA
rnacentral:tRNA from 1 species